rnacentral:lncRNA from 1 species
UCGCAAUAAACAAGAUCCAGAUAUAAUGUUCAUGCUCAACGCAGGCACUAAAUAACAAUGAUUUAAGUUCAUCACUAAUCCUGAUGGUAACUGAAGUGAAACUGUGCCGACGGCGAUUGCAUCAACCUUGGAACCAUUUCCUACGCGCAUCGUCACUUCAUCUUUCGCCAGCCUUCGUCUAUUCCGCAGUUCCUGAUUUUUCUUUGGCCGCCUUCUUAUCUGCCAGAUACUUGGGGCAAUUGCGCUUCCAGUGACCCAUACCCUUGCAAUAGUAACACUCCGUUUCAGGCUUAGGUCCAGCUUUGGGUUUCUUCGUCGGAUUGGCAACAGGCUUGCCGCUCUUCUUCGAAUUACCCUUCUUGCCUUUGCCGUUUCUCUUGAAACUAGUGGUCUUAUUCACCAUCAACACUUGAUGUUCUUUACGGAGUUCAGACUCUG